CGAUAUAUGUUUAGGAAAUUCGUAAACACAACCGUACGCAUAUAUGCCAUUUUCAGAAGUGUUAAGAGUACAGUGCAUUAUGGGGCAGAGCUUUCAUUGGACGAGCGACAUUAAAUUUAGAUUGAAUGCAAUACGACUCAUGUACAAAAAAAAUGUUUUAUUGCGUCAUACGCAUGCAAAAAACGUGUUUCUCAGGGACUUUCUGAUACCGCGCGAAAAUGAAAGUGAACCUCUGUUAACAAUUGCCGGUACACUGCGUUCGCAUGUAAAUAAAUCGUCUGCAUUAUUUAAUUUCUUAUACACGAAAUGAAAGAUUAAAUGACAAAAUACCAGAAUGAUAAUGAAAUGACAGAAAAAGUUGUUUAAUACAGUAGGCAGUAUAUUUCACAGCCGCGCAUUUCAUUUAGUCAAACUGCAUCCAUAUCAAAGUAAGAAUGUUUCAAUCGUUUUGAAUUACUUGAAUUGUAUAACUAUCCCGCUUGCACUUAUGGAAAUUAUCGCACUGAACCGCUCUGAUGAGGAAUACAUGUAAUAAACACUGACACGCGAGUUUUUCACACCUUUAUUGACAUUACACAACAGAUUAACACCAAUUAGCUGUCGGUGUUGUUUAACCUCGAGGCGAUUAUAAUCGGUUCAACGGACGGUUGAAUAAAGCAAUCAACAUGACUGUGAUUGCCGCCAUCUUUGAAUUGUCUGAAAAUACAUGAAGUUGCAUAAUACGGAUUUGAAUCAGAAAUCAAAUGGAAGGUUGGAGAAAAAAUGGGAUCCAAGCACCCUCCGCGUUAUAUUGGAUUCAGCGUUAUAACGGAGCGCUUUAUAUUGGAGUUACAGUGUAUUGUUAAAACUGUUAAAUCUAAAACAGACUUAAAAAACAACAGCCCAUCUGUGUCGAACCAGGAAGGCACAGCCACAUGCAGAGAGUGUGCAGAUAGAAGAUUCAAAUUCCAGGACCUUCGCAACUUUCAGCUGUAGUAUCAAACUCGCAGACAUCCAUUGACAAAUUCGUUUAAAAAAAUGAUAUGUUGAACGCGAAAGUAUUUUUGGUAUUUAUACCGUUUGCACACAACCAUCCUUUAAUUCCAAUAAAAACAUUACAAAGUUUUUUCAGGUUGUGUUCCAUGACAGUACCAUAGCAAAGCAUAAUUAUGUGGCUGUUUUGGGGCUAGCUGAACAUUUCAAAACUGUACUUGAUAGUUCUUUAACUUAAUUAGUGGACAGUACUCAGUGUCUCAGUACUCAGUGUCUUUUGAUGAAAGUUUAAAUAAGAAAGACCAAUCCAAGCAAAUGGAAAAGGCAUUUUAUUUAAAGGAAACUAACGUACAGUUUACGGACUUGAAAAUGAAUAUUUGGUCUUGGAAAGUCCUUGAAAAGUGCUUGAAUUUAGGUUUGAGAUUUCUGUUUGAACCAUGAGACAUCUAUAUAUUCAGCAAGGAACGAGAGCAAAUCAAGGAACAAUCGAAACGAUUCAUUCAGAAGUGUUUCUGCUGUAAAUAGUUAGGACAGUAGUAGCGUUACGGACUGUCCUCAGCGCACAAUUUAUUUAUGUGGUGCGCCUCAGAGGCGAAUUCCGCCCAUUAUUGAAAACAAGUUGCUAAAAGUAAACACAUCCGGUUUUGUUACGAGCACUUUGCACUCCGAGCCAAAGGGGCAUUGCAUUGAAUUGAGACUAAAGAAGGCUUGAAAACAUUACCCCAGUUUUGUUGUAUGGUCCAGUACGCCCUUCGACUCUCAACCUGAAGUUUAUCAGAACUCAAACUUGGCCCUUAACAAUAUCCGCGAGGCCAGCAUAUCAGCUCAGCUUCUGAGCUUCAGAGCCUGUUCCUCCUGGUCCAGGACCUUUGGACAAAUGUUCAAAUAGUACUACCCACAGGAUGAAGCCACUCUGAAUCCGGGGCUCCAUACUUUCUUGGCCAGGGGUGAAGACUACCUCGUCAAUAAGCAGAGCACCAGCAUUGAUAUCGAGUUGGCCCAGCAACCGCACAAGUCCUGCCUGCAGGAGCCCCAGUCCAGAACGACCCUUCCCCUCCCUUGACUUCUAACUCCUCCCCCUUGACCGCCUGCCUCAAAAAGUCAGCAUCGUUGAACAAUUCCGUUCUGCAGGAAAUUCUGAGCAUGAUUCUGUUCUGAAAAAACGCAAUGCCCACGUCACGUUUUCCAAACAUAAGCCUGGGUAGUUUUGUUAAGCUAGAGUUCCGCGUGGGCCUGAAAGGGACAAGUGUUACAGACACAAAUAGUUAUAGCAGUAGUUAUGGUAACGCUAACAGUUAGUUGUUGCUGUUGGACAUCACAACAAAUAUCAUGAAGAAUAAAUAUUUCAAUAAGUUGUUCCAAUCUUUAUGGGACAAACAGAAAUUGAACGGAAGAAAAUCAAGGAACAAUAAAAGCGUAAGCUUUCCUAGUGGGAUACAUCUGCUGUUGAUAGUUUGAACAACAGUAGGGUUACGGACUGCCCCAGAUUGUCCUCUCAGCGGCCUGAAUAUCAUAAUAGAACGGACUUUUGGCAAUAUUUCUGACAAAGAAAGGCAAUAAUGACUUGGUUGUGAAUACCCAGAGCACGAUACAUCCAUGCUGAAAGUUGAAACAGAAAGGCAGUCAUGACUAUGCAGUGAACACCCAGAGCAAGAUAUAUCCAUGCUGACACAGAAAGGAAGUAAUGACUAUGAUGUGAACACCCAGAGUAAGAUAUAUCUAUGCUGACACAGAAAGGCAGUAAUGACUAUGCUGUGAACACCCAGAGCACAAUACAUCCAUGCUGAAACAGAAAGGCAGUAAUGACUUGGUUGUGAACACAGAGCACAAUACAUCCUUGUUGACACAGAAAGGCAGUAAUGACUUUGCAGUGAACUCAGAGCACGAUACAUCAAUGCUGACACAGAAAGGCAGUAAUGACUUAGAUGUAAACACCCAGAGCACAAUACAUUCAUGAUUACACAGAAAGUCAGUAAAGACUUGGUUGUAAACACUAAGAUAUCCAUACAUCCAUGGGGUGUGCCACAGACGCAAAUUACGCCCACCAUUUUGAACAAGGUGCUUAAAGUGAACACGUCUGGUUUUGUUAUGAGCACUUAGCACUCCGAAUCCAAAAGGCCUCACAUUGAAUUGAUGCAAGAGAAGGCUUUGAAAAAUAACAGCAGUUUUGUUGUGUGGUCCAGUACGCCCUUCGACUCUCAACCUGAAGAAAGCAGAACUCAAACUCGUCUCUUAGCAUUAUCAGCAAGGCCAGCAUGUCAUCUCAGCUUCUAGAGCUUCAGUGAACUUAACUAUCAAACAUGACAAACGUCAUUGAAGUGAAAGUCGAUGACAACCUCCUUCUUGCACAAAUACUACAAUUGCUUAAGAAAUUCAGCACGAAGACGUCUUGCGUAAUACUACCAAGCCUCCUAUCAAUAUCUCCUCCCAUGUUGGGUACAUCAACACUUCCAACAUCAGAGCCUUGGUGAGUUCGACUUCCGUCUCAGCAUCGAUGUCGCUUAGCAACAAUUGGAUGAUGGGCGUCGACAAAUUAGGCCGGACAAGUCGCUCGAACUGAAACGAUCUUAUCCAAGAGGUAGAGCAGGCGUUGCGUGAUACGUCCGUUAAUGUGACUGACCUCGAUAUGUUGUUCUCAAAUAAAGGGAACCUUAGACCUGGAGAGCAGUAUGCCUUUUAACAACAGUUGUUGUCGGCAAUUCUCAUGUUUGGGGUGGCGACUUCAGCGUCAGGACUUGCUCCAUCUCUGUCUAUGGCCCAGUCGCAGCAGCAGCAGCAGCAGCAACAAGAACAAUAAGUAGUAUCUUAGAGGUGUUCUGGGAUACGGGGCUUCAAUUGCUUAAAUUGCUUCAAUGUGCUUAAAUUGUCAUCCCAGAUUAGCCUGUGCAGACUGCACCUACAUUAAGUCCUAUUAAAUUGUCAUCCCAGAUUAGCCUGUGCAGAAUGCACAUACAGUGACAUCCCAGAUUAGCAUGUGCAGACUGCACAUACAUUAAGUCCUAUUAAAGUGUCAUCCCAUAUUAGCCUGUACAGACUGCAUAUACAUUAAGUCAUAUUAAAGUGUCAUCCCAGAUUAGCCUGUGCAGACUGCACCUACAUUAAGUCCUAUUAAAUUGUCAUCCCAGAUUAGCCUGUGCAGAAUGCACAUACAGUGACAUCCCAGAUUAGCAUGUGCAGACUGCACAUACAUUAAGUCAUAUUAAAGUGUCAUUCCAGAUUAGCCUGUGCAGACUGCACAUACAUUAAGUCCUAUUAAAGUGUCAUCCCAUAUUAGCCUGUACAGACUGCAUAUACAUUAAGUCAUAUUAAAGUGUCAUCCCAGAUUAGCCUGUGCAGACUGCACAUACAUUAAGUCCUAUUAAAGUGUCAUCCCAUAUUAGCCUGUACAGACUGCACAUACAUCAAGUCCUAUUAAAGUGUCAUCCCAGAUUAGCCUGUGCAGACUGCACAUACAAUAAGUCAUAUUAAAGUGUCAUCCCAGAUUAGCCUGUGCAGACUGCACAUACAUUAAGUCCUAUUAAAGUGUCAUCCCAGAUUAGCCUGUGCAGACUACACAUGCAUUAAGCCCUAUUUUCUCAGAAUGAGACUCGUAUACUUCACUUAGUAUUUUAUGUGCCUGAAGGUUUCAAGCAUCAAAUGGGAAUUAUGUGCUUUUAAAUUGAUCACACAUAGAAAAUAAAAUGCAAAUAGCACUUGAUCUGGUAUCAAUUUUAAUCAUAGAAGGUCAGGGCAUUAAGUUUUGUACAUUUUCGACCAAAAUUCAGCCCCUGAACCAAAAGUUUAUCCUUGCAGAAAAAUCUGCUUUAAUAGAAUUGUUAAAUAAUAUUUAAUUUUAGUAAAAUAAUUAUGUAAAAGCCUUCAGCUCAUUUAAAAAUUAUUUUCUUCAUUUAUUAUCAAUAUUUAUUUAAAUUCCUGGAUUUUAUUUUAAAAGCCUGUUCCUACAGGAACCCAUGCAAUCAUAGAUCGGUACCUAGCUGAACAACAGGCUCUCUGGUCAGCUGGGCCCAGACGCCCAGGGACACUUUCUUGCCCAGGACCUUGGGGCAAAUGCUCAACUAGUCCUUCCCACAGGGUGUAGCCACUCUGAACCUGGGGCUCCAUACUUUCUUGGCCAGGGGCCAAGAUUACCUCGUCAAUAAGGUAGAGGUCUUAUACUCACAAGUUCAAGCCCAGUGAGCGAUGUUCACCAAAUCAAACUCUGCAUCUCAAUAGAAUCCCGGAUAUCAAAGCGUUGAGCUUGUUUUGAAGCAUUUGCACCAGCAACAGUCAUCAUCUCGAGUUACUGGCAUCUCUAUGGUGUUGAACCAUCCGUCUAUGAACAUCAUAACAGCACAUGAACCAGUGGCAGUCAUUAUCUCAAGAUUCUGGUAUAUCCAUAGUGCAGGACCCUUGGUCUGUAAAGAUCAUGCAGAGCGAACCUCAGAUGCCAUUUGACGAAAUCAAACCAUUCAACCAGAAACACAGCCUGUUGCAGCAGUUGUUACCAUUGACCCCAGUCAAACCUAAGAAGUCCAUAGAUAAAUACUUUUUAGAUGUGCUAGUCUCUACGUACCUCCUGGUUUGUUCAGCACUGACUCUGACUCUUUGAAUUUUAUGACGGGUGAAAAUGAAUGACCUUGUUCAGUUCGAAAUGGCAAAAUGACACAUGACAAUAAUUCAAGUGGAAAGCCACAAAGUCAUGUCAACAGCCACAUUUUGUAUGUGUAACAGCCAAGUUGUUUUCAAAGAAAAACAAAAGUUUAUGUUUUAUUUUUUAUGUGACCAAUGUUUCAUGGGUAUUAUGAUGCUGUCAGUCUCUUUCUGUUGAAAGUUUUGGUUAAACAUAGCAUGUUAAGUUUUUUUUAAAGCAUACAUAUUGCAUUUAUAUCCAAUGUCUUUGCCUGUAUAAUGAAUUUUUCACUACAUAUUUUGAUCCUUAUAAUGGUAUAUGUAUGGGAAAAACAAUUUUAUCAAAGAUAUUCUAAGAUUGUCAAGUCUGUUUAAAUGAUGCUGGUAACUGGAAAAAAAUAAAAAAAAUAUUGUAAUGUUUUCAUGUUAUAAGAUGAGUUUCAGUUGUCUGUUUUUAACCCGUUAAUAUAGAUAAGCUAAUUAAAAAUAUUUGUUCAGAAAGGUGUAAAAUGUUUUCGCUUCAGAUUUUUGUCUAUCAACCUUCUGAAAACAAUACAAGUGAAUUGGCUCAUUUGGGUCGGUAUUCGAUCAUGAAUCUUUUUUAGUAGCAUACUAUGUAUUUCAUGGGAAUAUAAAUAAAUUUUGGGCAAAAUUAUUUAAUCUACCUAAAAUAAUCGAUUCUGUAUUUACUACUAAUACUUUGUUGAUUUCAAUGGAUAGUGUUUGUUAAAUGAUAAGAGUAUGACUCUUGUUGAAAAGCUUUAAAUGAAACUGUGAAUUAAAAAAUAAAUAUUUAAUUAGUCUUAGAGUUUUAUGAAAAAUGGCAAAAGAUUGUUAAGUUCUGUUGUUAUAUCAUAUACUAAAAUGGUCAUAAGUGUUAACAUUUGUUUUCGGACAUAAUAGUUUAUUAUGCUUUAUAUUUGUAUAUGUACAUAAAGACGACAAGAUUGUAUCCUCUUUAAUCAGUGAGUAACUUAAUCAAGAUUUCUUGAUCACUGUAUCAAGUGUAUAUGUUGCCAUUUAUACAUAGAGCAACUGUAAAACAAUUGUAUUUUAAAUGUAAUGUAUCAAUGUAUUGUUGCCAUUUUUAUAAGAUAAACUCACUGUUAACAUAAAUUUGUACAAACCAUUGUUUAAAAAACAUUUCUUGUGUCAAUGCUAAAAUAUGUAUUAAACUGUUAAAAUAAUGCACAGUAACAACUUCUGAAGAGAAAAAUAUACUUAAGGCAAUAGAAACACAUUGUUAUAUGAAAUGCUUUUUAUUAAGAACACCUACUUAAAAUGUGUUUAAUUUUGUUUUACAUUAUCUGAAGAAAAAAUAGUACCUUGUAAUUUGAAAUCAGUCAAUGAAAAAUUAAGGGAGUGUUGCCAUAUGCUAACAAUAGUCAAGAAAUGCAAUUGUCUCUAUAAGUAAUACAACAGAGUAAUACAAUUUGCUUAAACAAGAGCACCGCAUAAAGGGUGCCAUGCUCGGCUACGGGUGCAGUUUUGAAUGAAUGAAAGCUUGUCAGAAUUUAUUUGAGAGGUCACAUUGACUUGACCAUUGAUCUAGUGACUCCAAAAUGGGUGCGGUGUGUAGAACUCAUCAAUGUGCAUUUACAUAUGAAUUUUGAAAGUUGUAGUUGGAAGCACUUUGAUUUUAGAGCCAAUGUUAAGGUUUAAGCACGACGCGGACGGCGGACAACACAACAAAUUGGCUAUGACAAUACCUCGGGUUUUCUCCGAAAAUACCGAGCUAAAAAUAAAAACUAAGAUGUCUGCUUUGCACUUUUUUUUUUAAAUAGACACUUAUAAAUGUGCUUAUAUUAAACGUGAACAGUAUUGACACAUUGCUAACGAUAAAGUUUAACAUUUUAUUAGUUUUGUAACAGCGUGUUUGACCUUUCACAUUGACCAUCCCACAAUUCCACAUUUGCUUUCAGUGGGGCCAGUUUCUGUAAAUCUUCCACUACAGGUUCAGCAAAUGUUUUAUGACCAGAUUUCCUCAUAUUUGGGAAUGUUUAUAUUUAACUUUUAUUGAAUGCAUGAAACAUGUUUGUUCUGUUUUUGAAUAGCUGAAAAUAGCUUGAUGUUUGUAAAUUGUGUGACAUGUUGAUCAAAUUGAUACAUAGAAAAAAACACAUUUUGCAUUAAUUUGUAUUUGUAUCUAAACAACACAUGUUACCAAAUACAAAUUUAAGUAUUUGGUAUAAAUAUAUAAGGAUUGUGCUAUAUUCGUAAUACCGUAUGAAAUGCAAUUUUAAUUAUAAUGUGUUGAUAUGUUUGUCUACUCCAAAUAAUCAUUUUAAAUAAGUAAAUAUAGGGUAAUAAUGUCUAUGGAAAGUACCCGUAGGCACGUUUCAAUUGCUUGUGUACCUCAUAUGGAUCAGGGUCUUUCUAAAUGAUUGCAUGAUUGUUAAUGCCUAUGUCUGAUUGUGUAAAUAUCUUCAAAGAUAUUUGUUAAAAGGAUUUUAAUAUUUAAAGAUAAACUAGCAUCUAAACUUUAACCGGGCAUCUUUUGCAUUUAUUUUAACGUGUUUAUAUUGUUUGGCUUACCGAGUUUAAUAUAGUCUAUAUUCGUGCGUAAUUUUAUUGUGGUUGUUUUGUUAAGACAAAGCGCAUAUCACUAAUGCUGUUGUUUUUGUUUUAUGUUAUAUGUAAAUAAUUAAACAUGUUUAUUUUGGUGAUAUGUAUUUCCCAAUCUAAAUGUAAUGUUGCAUUCUCAAUAAAGUACAUAGCCAUACACGUGGAAUAGUAUUGCUAAGUGACAAUAUGUUGUCUUUACAAAUAAAAUCCGCAAGGAUGGUCGUAUCAAUUAUAUAUAGCUUUCCCCUAUUGAACCUGGGUAAAAACGUGACCGUGAGUUCAUUUUGUUUUAUGUUGACUGCCAAUAUAUAUAUAUAGAAAGAAAUUUUUCAAACAGUGUAAAAAUGUGUAUCUUAUACCCUAGCGCUUUCGACUACACGUCUUCUUCAGGGGUGUAUACAGAUAUGAGUUAACGAUUCCCCAGUACGAAUGCACAAUAGAGGUUAACUUAUUGGCUUUCAGUCUUGUUUUUUUUAGUUAUGUGUCGUUUUAUUGUUGUAUUUAUUUAUUUAUGCAUAUUAAAAUUGUGUUAAAGACUGACGCCCGUAAUAUAAAUUAUAUCGAUGUAAUAAUGAAAAAUAUUAUAAUUUGCAGUGAAAGUUUUGCAUUCAGUUGUGUCAUAUUUAUUUUUCGUUUUAUGAUUAUGUACAUACACUUAUUAAAAUUGUGUGUUAUAAAAUGGCGCUUAAAAUGUUUAUUAUAUCGAUUUAACGUUUAAAUGAUUAAAAUGGAAGUUAGAAGUUA